UCCCCAAAAUCGAUCGAACUCAGCGGCUCCUCCUCCUUCGCCUCGACGCGUCGCCAUCCUCGGCGGCUCGGUCGGCCGGUUCCGCCGCGGUUCCUCCGGCGUCGGCUAUCUCUUCUCCCCGCUAUCCCUCUCACUCUCCCAAAAAUCUGGGGGAACUCGACUGAUACAGGGGAAGGCAUCACCUUUGCCCUCUCCGUUGAAAUCGCCGUCUCGACGGGCAUCCGCCGCUUCGCCCGUUGCUGGAGUCUAGCGGGGAGUCGUCCUCGCGCCGCACCGCCUCCGCCUCACGCGAUGUUGCUUUGGGCAGCGUCGCCUUCCCGACGCUCCUCCGGCGAUUACGCUCGUUGUCGUCUCUUGUCCUCCGCCGAACCGAGGCUUUACCUGCGGCGAAGUCAGCGACAGAGAGGAGGCGUCGCCUCACUCCCGCGCUCCAGCAACUGGCUCACCACCUCGCUCCAUGGAGGCCGCACGGUUAGGAGCUGUCCCUUUGUGAAGUCCUUGGGGGAUGGGAAUCGAAAAGAAGACUAAGGAUGAGGUCUACUACAUCCCUCAUUGUCUCAAUGCUAAGUUUGGAAAUUUGUUGAAGUAAUAGAUUUGGAGUAGCUCUUGACCAAGUUCUGUUUUAGUCAUUAGUUGAUUUGUUGUGGUCUUGUCCUCAUAAUUAAAAUUCAACUUGCUCAUUUUCAAAAUUGUUCUAUGAGUUGAGAUGCAUCAAAAUAUCGUAGAAUGAUGUAAUAUGUAUGUAUGCUUCUAAACACGUAGAAAAUAACACACAUUAAUGCGUA